GGAGGUAGGUACAAUAAAUCACAAUGCGGGACUCCUAGUCUUGCAAUUGGAUUGAGAACAACGUACAACUCUUAUCGAUAAGCCAUUGGAGGGCAAGUCUGGUGCCAGCAGCCGCGGUAAUUCCAGCUCCAAUAGCGUAUAUUAACGUUGUUGCAGUUAAAAAGCUCGUAGUUGAAGUGAGGGAGUGUGUGGGUAUGAGAGCUAGUCUCAAGUACUCACAACCUCCCCCCUCCAAUCGGUGUAGUGGGGUAUUCAGUUCAGUUAUUCUACUACUCCUUUGGUCGUUUACUGUGAGAAAAUUAGAGUGUUCAAAGCGGGCGUUUGUUUGAAUAGAUUAGCAUGGAAUAAUGAUUGAAGGCUUUCGUGUUCGAUUUGAUUGGUUUGUUCAUGGAAGCAAGGUUAAAAGGAACAGUUGGGGGUAUUCAUAUUCACUAGUUAGAGGUGAAAUUCUCGGAUUUAUGGAAGAUGAACA
rnacentral:rRNA from 1 species